GUGGUCUGCCUAAUCUGAAUGUGAUCCCCCAUUCUUACCAAUUGGCUAUCAUAGAUUUGCAAGAUUGCUUCUUCUCCAUCCCCUUACAGGAGAAGGAUCAUAAAUUCUUUGCUUUCACUGUUCCUGUGUUAAAUAACAGCCAGCCCACGGGACGGUAUCAAUGGAAAGUCCUACCGCAAGGAAUGCUGAAUUCCCCUACCAUGUGCCAAUAUUAUGUGAAUCAAGCCCUCCUGCCUUUCCGUUUUCAGUAUCCACAUCAAUAAAUGUGUGGGAAUCUUUUGCAAAAACCCUCAAUGUUUCUUCCUUUUGCCUAACCCAGCAGGUAUCAAUAGGUGAAAUCCUUGGCUCUUGCCUUAUCCCUGUUUGCUAUGACCCUUUUGAUAUGCAAAAUGAUACCUGGUUUUAUUCAUCCCUACCCAAAAAUGAUUCUCUCUGCACCCUUGGUUAUUCCGGUUACCAUAACUGGGGUACCCAAGUGCGCCGACGCCCACCUCUGGCCAUUGAUUUGUUGACCCCAUACCUGGCUUCUUUUAAUGUCACUUGCGCCCGUAUGGUCAGUUGCACAAAAACCAACUGUGUGAAAACGGGCAAGGAUAAUUUUAACUGCUCUAAUUAUGUAAAUAUUUCCUAUGUAUAUAAAUAAAAUCAUUGUUGCCUACUUUGCGAAGUGGCAGCACGAACAGUAAAUAAUAGGGGAGAUGUGGGCAGACUUACUUUGGGCAUGCGCUGGAAAACCACGUAUCCCGAAGUAUUUUUGUCCCAUUCACCCUGAAAUCAUAUAGCAACAUCUUGCACACACAAAAAAAAAGAAAGAAAAAGAAAGGGGGAGAUGAUGGGAAGUUUUCCUUCUGCACAUGAGUCUGGCAAACCGCUCUAAGCUGAAGCAUUCUUUUCUUCACCCACCCUAGAAUGUUUAGUUCACAUUGAGUUCAUGAAACAUCGUACCCUGACCUGUUCUUAAUGCAUGGUUGACCACAUCUACGGAAUGUGAUAGUUAUGUUCUUUUAAGUCUUGCUAUAUCAAUCAAUAUUCAAUAAAAGGGACUCCCCGAGACAUGCUCGAGAGAUGCCUCCCAUAUGACACUUGUCAUUCGUCUGUCGUUUAUUUCAACCCAACAGGCUUUGUCUUGGAUGGAUUCUUCAUUAACUCAUUUUCAUUACCCUCCAAACAGACUUCCUAGAUGAUAAUAUCACAGAUGAUGCUCUGUGUGUUAAGACAAUUGUCAACAGUACAAAGGACAUGACUGCUUGGUGAGUAGCAUCAGCUCCUUUUUUUCUAGAAACAAACAAACAAACAAAUAAAAGAUGGCUGAAAAAUAUUACUUAAUCAGAACCUUCAGUAGAAACUCUAUUAGGUACAUUCAGGGGUACAUUCAGACCAGCACAUUGCAUAUUAAAUAGCAUUUAAGUGUCAUUUGAUUUUGCUUUAGGCCACUUUGUUGUGAAAAGUAGAGAGGAAAAUCACAUGAGAUAGGAAUAAGAACAAGCUGAACUCAGGGUGCUGAUAAUUUGUGAGAGCCUUCCCUGCUUGGCCUUCCCCAAAGGAGCAACAACCUGUACAGAAAGGAACAGCAACCAGCAUAUCACAAAGGAGCAGCAACCAGCUGCUAAGUGUAUAGGAUGCCAUCCUGUCCAGGGCUGGGGGGGGGGGGCAUCAGGUUGGAAGAAGAGACUAGGUGGGAAGGAGAGUUCAGGUGGGAAAGCCUGCCCCCCUGCAUCCAAAGGCAUCCACUCCACCACUAUCUUUUUCCAGAAAGACACAACUGGUUGGGUACGUCCCUCUUAUUGUGGUGUCUCCUUCUUUUUGCCUGAUGUCCUGCCACCAUGAAAGCCCCAGAUUGCUCUGGAUCACCAUGGCUUUGUCAACCCGACUCGAGCAAUGGCUGGAUCUCCCCCCCCCCCAUUGGCCUUGACUUGUUUGGGUGCACAGCUGUAGCACUUUGUGGCCAGUCUUCCUGUUGCCAAAUUCAGUCUUGCAGAACUAUUUUCUUUUAAUAACUCUGUAUGCAAAAUGCAAAAUAACCAAUGUGUUUCGUCCACCCAUUAGGCCACUCUAUGAGAAAUACUGUGAUGAAGGUCGGGUAAAUCGUUAUUAUAUCAAGUGCCUUUUUGGUGGAGUUACACAAAGAAGAAAGUUUUUGCUUCGGAACCUGCCUUGACUUCUAUAGAGGGUUGCAUUGUCUCAGGUUUGGUCUGACAAUGUGCUUCACUUCAGAGCCUCAUCUCUUCUCAUUUUGUAAAGCUUUGGAUCCCCCACCCCACCCCCAUGAAACCAACAAACACCAACCUCAUCUGUAAUUUUUGUCAGACAAGGAUGAAAUCUGUUCACUUCCUGACAGGUUUGAGCCUUAAAAGGUACGCUCUCUCCUAAGGUCCAGUCUUACUUAAGAAGCUGAACCCCUUGAAGGGACCCCAUUUUUAUUCCCCGCUUACUGCAGGGCUCUACAUAGGGCUACCUUUGAAGAUGACUUGGAAACUGCAACUAAUUCAGAAUGCGACAGCUAGACUGGUGACUGGGAGUGGCCGCUGGGACCAUAUAGCACUAAAGGAUCUCCACUGGCCCCCAGUAAAUUUCCAAGCACAAUUCAAAGUGUUGGUGCUCGUUAUAUAUCAUCUCCCUUUUUUUUUAUAAUACUACAUUCCGAACUGAAAAAAUAUAUAUUUAAAAUGACGUUUGUUCAAAAACCAGAAGCAUUUUUACUAGGUAUUUCUGAUCAAGGACUGCCGAACGAGAAAUGGAAAAUAUUCAUGUAUGCGACAACAGCGGCAAGAAUCCUAAUAGCACAAAACUGGAAGACUGGAGAAAUACCUUCAAAAGCACAAUGGCAGGAAAAAUUGAUGACCUAUGCGGAAUUAGCAAAGCUAACGGAUAAGCUACAUGAAAAAGACAGUGAUUUUAAAAAAGAAUGGGAACCUUUCAUAAACUAUCUGCAGAAACAACUGAAAGAAAUGGACUCGGUAGCAGGAUUUGAAUAAACAUUAACAACUUUACUUAACAAAAUACAUGAAUAACAUUGUAAUAACGUUUUGACAGAUAAGGAAUAGCAGAUUGUAUCAUUUAAUGUAACAAACCAGAGGGGAAGCUGAAGGAAGUCAAUGGGAAGG